rnacentral:rRNA from 1 species
GUAGUCUGCAACUCGACUACAUGAAGCUGGAAUCGCUAGUAAUCGCGGAUCAGAAUGCCGCGGUGAAUACGUUCCCGGGUCUUGUACACACCGCCCGUCACACCAUGGGAGUCGGGAAUGCCCGAAGCCAGUGACCCAAGCGAAAGCAGGGAGCUGUCGAAGGCAGGCCGGAUAACUGGGGUGAAGUCGUAACAAGGUAUC